rnacentral:rRNA from 1 species
UGCAAGUCGAACGAUGAAGCCCUUCGGGGUGGAUUAGUGGCGAACGGGUGAGUAACACGUGGGCAAUCUGCCCUUCACUCUGGGACAAGCCCUGGAAACGGGGUCUAAUACCGGAUAACACUCUGUCCCGCAUGGGACGGGGUUAAAAGCUCCGGCGGUGAAGGAUGAGCCCGCGGCCUAUCAGCUUGUUGGUGGGGUAAUGGCCUACCAAGGCGACGACGGGUAGCCGGCCUGAGAGGGCGACCGGCCACACUGGGACUGAGACACGGCCCAGACUCCUACGGGAGGCAGCAGUGGGGAAUAUUGCACAAUGGGCGAAAGCCUGAUGCAGCGACGCCGCGUGAGGGAUGACGGCCUUCGGGUUGUAAACCUCUUUCAGCAGGGAAGAAGCGAAAGUGACGGUACCUGCAGAAGAAGCGCCGGCUAACUACGUGCCAGCAGCCGCGGUAAUACGUAGGGCGCAAGCGUUGUCCGGAAUUAUUGGGCGUAAAGAGCUCGUAGGCGGCUUGUCACGUCGGAUGUGAAAGCCCGGGGCUUAACCCCGGGUCUGCAUUCGAUACGGGCUAGCUAGAGUGUGGUAGGGGAGAUCGGAAUUCCUGGUGUAGCGGUGAAAUGCGCAGAUAUCAGGAGGAACACCGGUGGCGAAGGCGGAUCUCUGGGCCAUUACUGACGCUGAGGAGCGAAAGCGU